rnacentral:tRNA from 1 species
CCUCUCGCAGCUUAGUGGUUAGAGCAAUUGACGCGUAAAAUUAAAGAUCCCGGGUUCGAUUCCCGGCGAGGGUG